rnacentral:rRNA from 1 species
CAGCAGCCGCGGGAAUACAGAGGGUGCGAGCGUUAAUCGGAUUUACUGGGCGUAAAGCGUGCGUAGGCGGCUUUUUAAGUCGGAUGUGAAAUCCCUGAGCUUAACUUAGGAAUUGCAUUCGAUACUGGGAAGCUAGAGUAUGGGAGAGGAUGGUAGAAUUCCAGGUGUAGCGGUGAAAUGCGUAGAGAUCUGGAGGAAUACCGAUGGCGAAGGCAGCCAUCUGGCCUAAUACUGACGCUGAGGUACGAAAGCAUGGGGAGCAAACAGGAUUAGAGACCCCGGUAGUCCCUGUCUCUUAUAC